rnacentral:rRNA from 1 species
UACGGAGGGGGCUAGCGUUGUUCGGAAUUACUGGGCGUAAAGCGCGCGUAGGCGGACCUGCAAGUCGAGGGUGAAAGCCCGAGGCUCAACCUCGGAACUGCCUUCGAUACUGCGGGUCUCGAGUCCGGGAGAGGUGAGUGGAAUUCCGUAGUGUAGAGGUGAAAUUCGUAGAUAUUAGGAAGAACACCAGUGGCGAAGGCGGCUCACUGGCCCGGUACUGACGCUGAGGCGCGAAAGCGUGGGGAGCAACAGG